UGAAGUGCCCACGAGCAGAGAGCGCCGAGGGACGCCCGGGACAAAGUACAGCAGUUAGAACUUCAAACAGCAUCAAUCUUGGAGGGAGAAGGAUGUUGAUCCCUCAUCGGCUUCUUACCUACAAACCCUUUGAAACACGACCAAAGCGGCGGUAUCACUACCUGGCAUCGAGACAAACUCGCUGUUGUCUUCUGACAAUCCCUUUCCACACAUGAAUUACUAAAAGGUAAGUAAACUAUUUAGGCUUCAACUGCAGAAUUUCUUCAAAGUAAAAUGUCGACUGACUUCAGGCCAAGUUGUGGCCUUGCCUAUAAAAAGGUUGUUUACUUGUUUUUCCUCUCUCCUUCUUUUGUUUUUGCGAAAGGCUUUAAUUUGCUUUUUUCAGAGGAAACUAUUUGACAAACAUUCUGUCCUUCUGGUUGCAAGGAGAUGAAAAUCUCUCUGUCGUCGCUAAAUGUGUUCCCACAGCCCUGACGACUAAAACAAGAUUUGGGAUUAGCUGUGACAGCUCAUGUUUGAAUGCACUCUAUGCAACAACGUGGAUGAAUCAUUUGCAUGGCUGACGGACAGAGCUGCCCAUAAAUGUCGGAGGCGGUGGUGUCAAUCCAAGUUCAAAAAUGGCAUUUCAAGACAAAGACUUGCUUCUUAUCGUGACUUCUGGGAAUGCUGUGACAGACAGAUACCUUUUCCCGUUCUAUGGCAAAAAGUAGCAGAAGUUGGGACUGUCUGAUUGCACUGAAGUUCAAAGGAUUCGGGAGGAGCAAUCAAACAUACCCCGAGGCUGCCAUUUUGGAUAUCUGGGUUAAUGGCAGAGAAAAUACAAUCUCGCAAUCCAGCUACAACUCCAACGCUAAAAAAUAAUCAGCUCAGCUUAAAAGGGCUCAUUAGGAGAAGCUUUCGAUGUGAAAAACAUGUCGCAAAGCAUGGAGAAUCCCCCCCCCCCCCCCCGCGCCUUUUUUGACUCUGGGAAAUCAAAUUGUAACAUGAUUCCUUUUAACAAAGGUUCCCCUCUGAACACAUUUAGGAGAGGCGAGGAGAGACAGCGAGCUGGCAGGUGCAUUUCCGGCUCCCACUUAAAUGAGAAUUGAAAUGGCAGCAGGACGUUUCCCCUAAUGUUGGCGCCCGUCCAGGCGUGCCUUUUGUAAGGCCGCCUGUGCAGACCUGGUCGCAGGAGAUGCCGUAGGUCUCUAGGACCUCUGCACCGCUCUUAUCUCGCCGGCUUGUCUCUGUUCUCUGCGGCUGACUUUCAUGCAAAUGGGAGUCAUAGCUCUCCAGUCUAUCUUAUCUUUCCAGGCUGCAUUGUCCAGAGUGGACACACACAAAGGGAGUCAAGGGAAUCCGCCUGUACGUUUCUUCAGAGCUCAUUGGAGCUGCACUGGUGGCGCUGAAUGGAGGGCGAAUUAUGAACGCCCUUUAUGCAGAGUUCAUAUGCGGUGAGAUCAGGACGAGAUAAGAGGUUGGCCCAUGUUGUCUGAAGUGAUUUACAUACUGUCUGUUCUAAUAGGAUUUCAUCGACUCACACCAUCCCCUUUUCAUCCCUCUUGGCUGCCUGCUACCCUUCUUAUAUCCUCUCCCAACCCUCUCCACUAUCUGCGUUUCCUCAGUACAGCGCUAUUAGCACAAAACAGCUGAAGUCUGAGGGUGAGUUUAUGGAAAUGUGAUCUGCGCAGAGAGAGUUUCCACAAACAAGCGGCGCGUUGGUUGGAUUGAAUGUCUUUCAUGUGCAAAUAAACAUUCUAUUUACUAAGUUCUAGAAACCUCUAUUCACAGAUGCAUUCAUGCCGUGCUUUUGUAGCAAUGUGAUAAAACGGCUUGUGUUGCGAAAUCCGUCUCAUUCUCAACCACUAAAAGGGAUUUACACGUCAUUUCAGUGAUAGGUGUUUAAAACGAUGCCUCGCUUUUUCAAAUCCAAAUGAGUUAUUGUCUUUUGUGAUAUCGAACGGACAACGUUUUUCCUCUUUUGAGGGGAAGAAUUCUGUGUACCCGAACAAAGGAUCUUACAUUUCAUAUAUUUGUCUCAUGACGACACCCACACCGUUCACAGCUGCUUUGCCCCAGGAUAUCCAUCCAUGUCUGUAAUGGAGUCAAGCAACCCAAUUUACAUUUUUGUUGUAAAAUGUAGAAAGAAAGAAAAGGACAACUGAACAUGUUACUGAGAACUUAGAUUGGUGAAAUUCGGACUUCAAACAAAAGAGGUUUUAAAGGAACGACAUGGAAACGUGCCAUGUGAAUUGGUGAACCACAUUAAGUCAGAGGGGUGAUUUUCAGUGUAAAAUAUCUUAAGUGCGACAAGCAAAGAGCAUAUAUUCAACUGAUUAAACUUGAACUUGAA
ensembl:lncRNA